UGAGUAACACGUAGGUAAUCUACCUUUGAGUGGGGAACAACUUAGGGAAACUUAAGCUAAUACCGCAUAAUGCAGCGGCACCGCAAGGUGACAGUUGUUAAAGGAGCAAUCCGCUUAAAGAGGAGCCUGCGGCAGAUUAGCUAGUUGGUAAGGUAACGGCUUACCAAGGCUACGAUCUGUAACCGACCUGAGAGGGUGGUCGGUCACACUGACACUGAAUAACGGGUCAG
rnacentral:rRNA from 1 species